GACCGCGUAGCUCAGUUGGCAGAGCAUUGGGCUAGUAUUCCAAAGGUCUUAGGUUCGAUUCCCAUCGUGGCCA
rnacentral:tRNA from 1 species